rnacentral:rRNA from 1 species
AUUGAACGCUGGCGGCAUGCUUUACACAUGCAAGUCGAACGGCAGCGCGGGCUUCGGCCUGGCGGCGAGUGGCGAACGGGUGAGUAAUACAUCGGAACGUGCCCAGUAGUUGGGGAUAGCUCGGCGAAAGCCGGAUUAAUACCGCAUACGACCUGAGGGUGAAAGCGGGGGAUCUUCGGACCUCGCGCUAUUGGAGCGGCCGAUGGCAGAUUAGCUAGUUGGUGGGGUAAAGGCCUACCAAGGCGACGAUCUGUAGCUGGUCUGAGAGGACGACCAGCCACACUGGGACUGAGACACGGCCCAGACCCCUACGGGAGGCAGCAGUGGGGAAUUUUGGACAAUGGGCGAAAGCCUGAUCCAGCAAUGCCGCGUGUGUGAUGAAGGCCUUCGGGUUGUAAAGCACUUUUGGCGGGAACGAAAAGGACUGUGCCAAUACCACGGUUCGAUGACGGUACCCGCAGAAUAAGCACCGGCUAACUACGUG